UUUCUGUUGCACCCUUUGUCUGCUAUAUAUGUUGUCAGUUGAUAUCUGCAAAUAACUAGAUUAAAAUCUCUCAUUGUUUAGGUGUUUUGUUCCAAGAGAACUUGGAUCAGUGAUCAGUCAUCAAAGUUGAACCGGGUGAUAUGACAGGAAAAGAAAGAUUAUUUUCUACGAAACAGAAUCAUUUACAGUUGCUGUCUUGAAUCUUGUAAUUUGUAAAGAAGGUUAGUUUAUAAAACGCAUUCCAGGCAACGUGGCAUGAAAAUUAUAUAUUCUGAACAGGGCUUCAAAUUUGCGGUAUCCUGGCGAUACCAGAUUUUAAAUUUGGAUGCUGGAAAAUCACAAGCACAGUAUCCUGAAGGAUACUAAAAAAAUUCUGUCCACAGCUGAUAUUUCUUGACAAAAUACCAUCAAACAAUAAUAUAAACAAAGGCGACUGAAUUCAAUUUGACUGAGCAAGAAAGACACUCAAAAAAGUGCCAAAGCCAAGCAAAGUAUGAAGAAACAAAAAUUUAAAAGGCUUGAAAAAAUCCUUUCCAUGGGUAAUGCUCGUGAACGAAAAGAUGUUUUGCAAAUGUGUGGUAGUAGAUUUUCUCGAUGGAUAUCAGAUUUCAAGUUGCUAUAGUAUCAAGUUGCUAUAGUAUCCUGCUGAAAAAUUCAAAUUUGAAGCCCUGCUGAAUGAUAUGUUUUAUCCCUUGGGGAAUUAAUCCAAUCUAAGCCAAUAAGUGCAGAAGCCCUGUGUCUGUGAACAUUUUUUAUCAGUUGCAUGUAAUUGUUUUGAUGAUAGAAAUGGUUAUAGACAAUGUUCAGAAAGUUUGGAUUAACUCGUUAAGUCUCAUUGCGCCCCCAUGCGCCCUGGAAUUGGGAACGGGGUAAGUCUCAUUGCGCCCUCAUGCGCCCUGGAUGACACGUCAACUUCCGGGCACGAUUGUCUAGCGCAUAUUUAUCUGGUUGCCUAGCAACGGUCACGAGUAUAAAGUGCAAAAUUCGGGCUUUCAAACGAUACAUCAUGCGAGAAAAUUGAUCAAAAGUUUGCGAAGAUUUUCGAUUUUAAAACUCUAUUUUUUUACAAAAUGUGUGACAACUGCAAAGUGUCACAAGAUAGGACUUUGCAGCAAGUUUUAAGGAUGAAAAAGAAGAGGUUUUUAAAGAGUUUUACAUAUAAAAUAUAUUGUAAAACAUAAGGGAGUGUGCAUAUGUUUCAAGUCAAGUUCUUGUCCAAAUCAAGUCGCGCGAUUUUCAGCCAGAAAAACAGCAAUUUCUUUCAAUCUAACGAAAAAGUGAAGUGGGAAAUCGCUAGAAACACGAACACUAAAUCCAAGUGAGUAGUUUGAGCGUGUUUUUGAAUGAAAAUACCUGGCAUGUUUUCAUGAAAUUCGAUAUAGCAUUAAAGCAAGUUCAAUCUAGUUUAAAACUAAGUUUUUAGAAGAACUUUUCAUGCAUUUUAUGGCAUGAUUUCGACUGUUUUAGUGACCCUACUGUUGGUCUUCUUGCUCAAGUUGUUAUUUUAGCCAAAGUACUUUCAGAAGACAGUAGGUUCAACUUGUCAUGUGCGUAUAUGCAUUUUUGGCAAGAAAAAUUUCGAGUAAAACUGCAUUAAAACUAAGUAGAAUACUCUACAAUGAAUACUAUAUCUGUUUCUAUAAACUUUGUCUCAAAACGAGCUCUCAUUUCAGAGAUAAUGUGGUUUAAAAUCAGUGUAUUGAAUUAUGCCGUUACUUGGCGCGUGCAAAUUCUGAACAUUCAUGACAGGGACACAGAAUAGGAAGGUAUACCAGAAGUCUCACUCAAGCAAGUAUUUGUCUGCGUUUUUACAAGCGAUUCGUCAUCAAUCACGCCAUCCUGGCUAGUACAACCGGCACUUUGUACCUACCAAAACCUGAUAAAAACUUCCGGUUGUACUAGCCAGGAUGGCGUGAGCAAGUUAAAAUUUUCGUGGACGUAAAACAAUAAGGGAAACGACUAGAGUUACGCUUCUGCUAUAGCUUCUUAUUUUGUGACAGGGAUUUGAAAAGCUUAUAAAAUACACUUUAUUGCUUCAUAUAAUCCCCAUAAAAUUUUUAAAUCAAUAAAGCACAUCAUAAAAUUAAUGUACGCUCAUUUUCUAAGAAGUACUCGUCGAUUACCUGAAGGAAAAGUUCUAAAAUAGGUCAGGACAGUAGUUUACAAAAUGCCGUUCUCCUCUGAAAUGGCUUCUUUUGCGGGAAGCCAUUAAAUUAAUGUACUUUCCAAAAUUGUAAUUUAGUCGCUUUUUUGGUCUCAUUGCUCACUUAUUUAUCAUGGAAUUACUUCGCUUGAGCUCUUUUAAUAAUCAUCUGCAAGAUACUUUGCUAUUUGGUGAAAUAAAAGCUAUAUUUUUAGCAGUUUAUCUUUUGAAAACUGCAUGCGCAACAAAGUGUCACCAAUGUGUUUACUCUCGUCUGACAAACAACCAAAGAUGAAAUAAUUUAUUUCACUCUUUUAUAGCAAUUUAAAAUGCCUAAAUAUUAGAUUAUUCAUUUUAUUUGAGCAUACAUAUUAUAUUUUUAUACAAUUGGUCAUUGAAAAGGACUUAUUUCAAGCUAGAGUCAGAUUUCAAACUGAAGUCAGAUUUCAAAAGAAACCGCCUGUCUUGACAUUUUACAGCAACCUACAUUGGCGUGCACAACGUUUUAGCCACAAAUCCGUUGUUUUCUCAACAGAAACAAAAGGAAUUUCAGUUAAAAUUCUUACCUGAUGAAUAUUCAAAAGUGUUCAUCUCUUUUUGACGACUUUCAGUGCUCUUAAUAGCGAAAUAAUAAGCCUUUUGUUUUGUCACUGCACGCUGCGUUUGAAAAUGCCGGCUGUCAAAGUCAGAAUUGAAAACACCUCAAAUAUUUUAAAAUUUUCUCACCUUUUUCAUCCUUUGUUUAUAUUUUAAUUAGUAAUUUUCGUACUUCGUGUUUUUCCAAACAUAUUUGAGGUAUUUAAAAACUUCAAAGAGGUACAAACACUGUGUUUUGGGGUUACAGAGUUUCUGAACUUGAACAACAAGUUCUGAAGUUCAAGUUCUCCAUUGUAAACUAGAUGUCCUGAGUAUGCCUGAGCUAUGCCCAAGCAAAUGUUUAUAGCGUUUCAUUAUUUUGUAAUUUAUACCCUACAAGAUGAAAACUAAUUUGAAUAUAAAUGUGUACCAAUCCAGGAAUCAAAAAAUAUUUGUCCAUUUAUAUUGGGUUAUUGAAUUAUUGCCCUUCAGAUGUUGGGUGUCAUGAAGAAACAAAAUGUCAGGGACUUAAAUUUACACAAACCAAGAAUUCUGACCCAAAAAUCUAAUGAUAUAUUUAAGUGUGGGAGCUCAUUUAAAAUAGAAUUGAUUAAUCAUUUAUCAUUUUAAUCCACUGCCAAAUUUCAAGGUUUUUUAUAACAUUGAUCUUGAGAUAUGGGUAUUUUUGUAAAAGCAGUUGACAGAAGUUGACAGUAACUAAAAUUCGCCAUUUUCCUUGCAACUUGGGGAGUGCCAAUGUUGCAACAGUCUGCAACUUAAUGAUAAUAGUUCCUGGCUUUUUUUAAUUUAAAAAAAUUUCCUGUGGUCUCCCUUUGCUGAGCACAGGUUGCCACUUGCCUGUGGUUGCCCCUUUGCAAAAUGUUUUAAAACAUGUUUUUAUCACUUGAAAGUGAUUGUUUUGGUGAGAAAAUCUGUUUCAAUGUUAAACAUUAACAGAUUUUCAUAACAGGCUAAAAAACAGCAAAAAAGUAGGGCUAUAGCCUUCUUUUCGUCCAUUUUGACAAUUUUUUCUGCCAGAUAAUGCGAAGUAUGGUUUUUGAACCAAACUAUAGUUUGACCUUUUUUAAUCUUGAAAUUGAAGGAAAUGUGAAAGAAAUUGAAUUAAUAAUCUGAGUAUCGAAGUUCAAUAGAGUCAUUUUUAUAAAGAAAUGUUGCAAUUAAGAGGAUAUUUAUAAUUAGAUAGCUUGUAUCCAUUGAUAUUUGUUUGCAAUUUCUCAAUAUUUUUCGAUGCAAAUGGACAGAAGAUAUUGAUAUUGAAUUCACCACAGGAUACUCAAGUACGCCUGAAAAUGAAAGUCUAAAAAAUGUUUUAACACCCUCUAGGGUGAUUGAACUUCACUAUAUAUGAUGCCAUAUUGGUUGCAUUAACUCGCAAAGGCUUCCUUUUUUUAGCUCUUCCCAUCACUCCUUGCACGCUCACUUUUCCCUCCCUAAAAACUUCAUGUAAGCCUCAGCAGAGGAGAGAGGGGAAAAACGACAAAAAAAUAAGGCUAUAGCCUUUACUUUUCAUCGAUUUUCACAACUUUUUUCAUUAAGGCCUGUGAUCCCCCCUUUGCAUUUGACCCAAAGUUUGGAAUGGCUUGGUGCAGUUUCGGGAAAAUUUCCAGUUGUCCCCCUGGGCCCUUUGUUGAUCCUGGGGUUGCCUGUGUUCCCCUCCUUGCAUUUGACCCAAAUUUUUCGAAACAUGUUUUUAUGAGUCGGAAAUAGUUUUAUGAGUCGGAAAUAGAGUUUAAUAGAGAAAUGUUUCUCAACAAUUUUCAGAAAGUUUGGUGUGAGUUGGGCCUCUUGAAUUUUUCCUGUGAUCGCCAUUUGUUGACCGUAGGGUUGCCUAUGAUCCCCAUUUGACCCAAAGUUUUUGAAACAAGUUUUUCUAAGUCGAAGGUGAUCGUUUUGAUGAGAGAAAGAAAGUUUUGUGAGUUGAGGGAUCUUUAUGAAUUUUUAAAAAAUUUCCUGUGGUACUCUCAUUUUUAACCCAUCGAGUCUCAUUGUGCCCAGAUGCUCUCUGCUUUACUCUGUCUAACGCCAGAAGAUUUUACUCGUCAAGGGGAGAGCGCUGGCGCUUAAUGGUUAACUGGCCUAUCUGCCCAUGGGUGUAUAUAACCCAUUGAGUCGCAUAGAAUAGAAGAAUAAUUUAUUUAAUGUCGAAUGACACAGAGUGUGGUUGCCCAAUCACUCGAGCCAGGGGCUCAUGAUAGAAGUGCUCGAUGCGCCCGAUUGUGCCCAGAUGCACCCGAUUGUGCCCAGAUGCACCCUGCUUUGUUAUUUUACUCUGUCUAACGCCAGACAAUUUUACUCAUCAAGGGGAGAGUGCUGGCGCUUAAUGGUUAAACACAAAAGUGUGAAUUUUCUUUGGUUGUCUAUGAUCCCCCCUUUGCAUUUGACCCAAAGUUUUUGAAACAAGUUUUUCUAAGUCGAAGGUGAUUGUUUUGAUGAGAGAAAGAAAGUUUUGUGAGUUGGGGGAUCUUUAUGAAUUUUUAAAAAAAUUCCUGUGGUACUCCCAUUUUUAAAAACAAAAUAUGAAUUUUUCUGUUGCAUCCUUCGUCUGGUAUCAGUUAGAUAAGAUAUGUUGUCAGUUGAUAUGUGCAAAUAACUAGAUUAAUAUCUUUCAUUGUUUAGGUAUUUUGUUCCAAGAGAAUUUGGAUCAGUGAUCAGUCCUCAAAGUUGAACCGGAUUACAUGACAGGAAAAGAAAGAUAAAUUAUUUUAUACCAAAAAGAAUCAUCUACAGUCGCUGUCUUGAAUCAUUUAAAUAAGGUUAGUUUAUAAAACGCCUUCCAGGCAAUGUGGCAUGAAAAUUUUAAAUUCUGAAUAAUAUGUUAUCCCUUGGGGAAUUCAUCCAAUCUAAGCCAAUAAAUGCAAAGCCCUAUGUCAGUGAGCAUUUUUUAUCAGUUGAAAGUAAUUGUUUUGAUGAGAGAAAUAAAUGCUUAUCGACAAUUUUCAGAAAGUUUGGAAUAAUAGUUCCGGGCCUUUUUUAUUUAAAAAAUUCCUGUGCUCUCCCUUUGUUGAGCACAGAUUGCCACUUGCCUGUGGUUGGCCCGCUUUGCAAAAUGUUUUAAAACGUGUUUUUAUCAAUUGAAAGUGAUUGUUUUGAUGAGAAAAUGUGUCUCAAUGUUUACUUUUUGUCCAUUUUGACGUAAAGCAACAAAAAAGCAAGGCUAUUUUGAUUGACGAUUUUUCAUCGCUAGCUUUUGAAAAAAAAAGAAAGAAAUGGGUUGUUCCAGAAAAGAUCCACACUCCCCCCACGGAGGAAAUUUCUGCCGUCCGGAGGGGGAGGGGAGACAAAAUUGUUUCUGAUAAUAGUAAAUGUAUUAGGACAUCCGAGGGGGUAGGGCGAUUAACUUCCAAUUUCCUCCGUGGGGGUGGUAUGGAUGUUUACUGGGAUGACCAAAAAAAGAAAUUGAAGAAAUCACUUCACCAGAAGAACAAAGUGAUUUCAAACGCAAAACAAAAAAAAAAAGAAAGAAAUUGAAGAAAUCACUUCAACACAAGAACAAAGUGAUUUAAAACACAAAACAAAAAAAAAAAGAAUGAAAUUGAAGAAAUCACUUCAACAGAAGAACAAAGUGAUUUAAAACGAAAAACAAAACAAAAAAGAAAGAAAUUGAAGAAAUCACUUCAACGGAAGAACGAAGUAUUUAAAACGAACAACUACAAUGCUUGAAACAGAUAAGGCGACUAAAAAAAAAAGAAAUUGAAGAAAUCACUUCACCAGAAGAACAAAGUGAUUUCAAACGCAAAACAAAACAAAAAAGAAAGAAAUUGAAGAAAUCACUUCAACACAAGAACAAAGUGAUUUAAAACACAAAACAAAAAAAAAAAGAAUGAAAUUGAAGAAAUCACUUCAACAGAAGAACAAAGUGAUUUAAAACGAAAAACAAAACAAAAAAGAAAGAAAUUGAAGAAAUCACUUCAACGGAAGAACGAAGUUUAAAACGAACAACUACAAUGCUUGAAACAGAUAAGGCGACUUUUUCAUAACUGGGCAGAAAACAGCAAAUAAGUAAGGUUAUUGCCUUAACUUUUCGUCGAUUUUAACGACUUUUUUUCGUAAAGGGACAAAAAACAGCAAAAAAGCAAUUAAAAAGGACAAACAACAGCAAAAAGCAAUUUUUACGACAUUUUUCAUUUUCCGUAAAGAGACAAAAAGGAUUACUUUUCGUCCAUUUUUGGCGACUUUUCCCAUUUUUCAUAAAUGACGAAAAAACAGCAAAAAAGUAAGGCUAUACCCUUUACUUUUCGUCCAUUUUUAGCGACUUUUUCCAUUUUUCAUAAGUGCGAAAAAACAGCAAAAAAGUAAGGCUAUACCCUUUACUUUUCGUCCAUUUUUAGCGACUUUUUCCAUUUUUCAUAAAUGACGAAAAAAGAGCAAAAAAGUAAGGCUAUACCCUUUACUUUUCGUCCAUUUUUAGCGACUUUUUCCAUUUUUCAUAAAUGACCAAAAAACAGCAAAAAUUAAGGCUAUACCCUUUACUUUUCGUCCAUUUUUAGUGACUUUUUCCAUUUUUCAUAAGUGGGCCAAAAACAGCAAAAAAGUAAGGUUAUAGCCUUAACUUUUCGUCCAUUUUUAGCGACUUUUUCCAUUUUUCAUAAAUGACCAAAAAAACAACAAAAAAGUAAGGCUAUAGCCUUGACUUUUCGCCCAUUUUUAGCAACUUAUGUCAUUUUUCAUAAGUGACCAAAAAAACAACAAAAAAGUAAGGGUAUAGCCUUAACUUUUCG
rnacentral:lncRNA from 1 species